AAGUUGACAACACCCGAAGCCGGUGAGCUAACUCUUAGGAGAGGCAGCCGUCGAAGGUGGGGUUGAUGAUUGGGGUGAAGUCGUAACAAGGUAGCCGUAUCGGAAGGUGCGGCUGGAUCACCUCCUUU
rnacentral:rRNA from 1 species